rnacentral:rRNA from 1 species
AGUCAACAUGCCCAAAGGACGUGGAUAACCUCGGGAAACUGAGGAUAAACCGCGAUAGGCCAAGGUUUCUGGAAUGAGCCAUGGCCGAAAUCUAUAUGGCCUUUGGAUUGGACUGCGGCCGAUCAGGCUGUUGGUGAGGUAACGGCCCACCAAACCUGUUACCGGUACGGGCUUUGAGAGAAGGAGCCCGGAGAUGGGCACUGAGACAAGGGCCCAGGCCCUAUGGGGCGCAGCAGGCGCGAAACCUCUGCAAUAGGCGAAAGCCUGACAGGGUUACUCUGAGUGAUGCCCGCUAAGGGUAUCUUUUGGCACCUCUAAAAAUGGUGCAGAAUAAGGGGUGGGCAAGUCUGGUGUCAGCCGCCGCGGUAAUACCAGCACCCCGAGUUGUCGGGACGAUUAUUGGGCCUAAAGCAUCCGUAGCCUGUUCUGCAAGUCCUCCGUUAAAUCCACCUGCUCAACGGAUGGGCUGCGGAGGAUACCGCAGAGCUAGGAGGCGGGAGAGGCAAACGGUACUCAGUGGGUAGGGGUAAAAUCCAUUGAUCUACUGAAGACCACCAGUGGCGAAGGCGGUUUGCCAGAACGCGCUCGACGGUGAGGGAUGAAAGCUGGGGGAGCAAACCGGAUUAGAUACCCGGGUAGUCCCAGCUGUAAACGAUGCAGACUCGGUGAUGGGUUGGCUUCGAGCCAACCCAGUGCCGCAGGGAAGCCGUUAAGUCUGCCGCCUGGGGAGUACGGUCGCAAGACUGAAACUUAA